GUGGCCUCUGAAGAUGGACUAAUAUUUAUAGGCAGAGGCGCCCUUUAGUGUCACUGAAUCACCACUCACCUCAUUUCACCGUGGCGUCCCUGCCCACUUCACAGAGCUGCCCCAGGCUGAGGAGGGUAGAAGCCUGAGCUUCUAUCACAGGUCUGGGUUUACCUUAAUCCCUCAGUCACAAUUAUCAUUAGCAGGUUCCAGCAGGCACCACAGAAAUAAUAAGACCAUCCUUCCAGAAUACUGCUCACGAAGGAGCUGAACGCAGGUCAGCAAGACUGGCAACUGAUUAGGAAGGGCAAGCAGUGUCUUUCAGACAGAGGAAGACAAGCCAGGUGGGAGCAAAGAUUUUUCAGAACAGCAGAUUUUCUUCCACUGGGUCUCUCUCACCAAGGACAACAUGGUUAAGCCACUGUCUCUCUCUGAUUCUUAAUUACACAAGUAAUAUUUCAUAUCAGUCAUGCCGUGACAGAAUAUACUUGUGCCCUUUCUGUAAAUUCCUGAUAAAGAUCUUCCAUCUUUGGUUUUGAUUUAUCUCCUGGUUUCUUCCAUGACCCAGGCCACCAGGAAAAUCAAAAUUCAAGCUGAGAGCCAACCAAGAAUUUAAAACCAACUUCUUCAAUUGGACAAGUUUAUGAACAUCAAGCAAAUUAAAACUUUUCUUCAAUUCUUUUAGAUGUACACUUCAUUAAAACUGAGUUUCUUCUACUUUACAUCGUUGAAAUGCUUUUAUAAUUGG
rnacentral:lncRNA from 1 species